rnacentral:rRNA from 1 species
UUUCGCAAUGCCCGAAAGGGUGACGAAGCGACGCCGCGUGAGCGAAGAAGGCCCUAGGGUUGUAAAGCUCUGUCGGGGGUUAUGAAAUGUAGAUGGGAUAAUACCUCAUUUAUUUGACAAAGGCCCCAAAGGAAGCCACGGCUAACUCUGUGCCAGCAGCCGCGGUAAUACAGAGGUGGCGAGCGUUGUUCGGUAUUAUUGGGCGUAAAGAGCACGUAGGUGGUUUUGUAAGUCAGGUGUGAAAGCCUUCUAUUCAAAGGAAGAACGGCAUCUGAAACUGCAGAUCUUGAGUGUAGGAGGGGAGAGUGGAACUUCUGGUGGAGCGGUGAAAUGCGUAGAUAUCAGAAGGAACGUCGGCGGCGAAAGCGACUCUCUGGCCUAUUACUGACACUGAGUGUGCGAAAGUUAGGGGAGCAAACGGGAUUAGAUACCCCGGUAGUCCUAACCGUAAACGAUGGGCACUAAGUAGAGGGGUUUUA